UACGAAGGGGGCUAGCGUUGUUCGGAAUCACUGGGCGUAAAGCGCACGUAGGCGGAUUUUUAAGUCAGGGGUGAAAUCCCGGGGCUCAACCUCGGAACUGCCUUUGAUACUGGAGAUCUUGAGUCCGGAAGAGGUAAGUGGAACUGCGAGUGUAGAGGUGAAAUUCGUAGAUAUUAGGAAGAACACCAGUGGCGAAGGCGGCUCACUGGUCCGGUACUGACGCUGAGGUGCGAAAGCGUGGGGAGCAAACAGG
rnacentral:rRNA from 1 species